UACGGGAGGCAGCAGUGGGGAAUAUUCCACAAUGGGGGAAACCCUGAUGCAGCGACGCCGCGUGAGUGAAGAAGUAUUUCGGUAUGUAAAGCUCUAUCAGCAGGGAAGAUAAUGACGGUACCUGACUAAGAAGCACCGGCUAAAUACGUGCCAGCAGCCGCGGUAAU
rnacentral:rRNA from 1 species